rnacentral:rRNA from 1 species
UACGUAGGCAGCAAGCGUUGUUCGGAAUUACUGGGCGUAAAGAGUGUGUAGGCGGUGCUCUAAGUUUGGUGUGAAAUCUCCCGGCUCAACCGGGAGGCUGCAUCAAAUACUGGAAUGCUAGAGGGUGGGAGAGGUAAGCGGAAUUCCUGGUGUAGCGGUGAAAUGCGUAGAUAUCAGGAGGAACACCUGUGGUGUAGACAGCUUACUGGACCACUUCUGACGCUGAGACACGAAAGCGUGGGUAGCAAACAGG